rnacentral:lncRNA from 1 species
AUAUAUAUAUAGAGUCCGGCUACUAUGCUAUCGGUAGCACGGAGCGCUCCGUGCUACCAAGUUGUUUUCGAUGAUGCGGCUUCCAAAUCGACGAUCGGCUCCGUUAGACUUGAUCUACACUAUUGAAAGUAUUUGGAAACUAAAUUUCAAAUUUUUUCGACAUCAUUUGACUAGUAAUCAAAAGAUCUCAAAAUUGACAAUUUUAAUGGCCGAUGUGGUGUGUUUGUGAGUUUAACGGUGUAAAACAAUUCAAAUGCGAUGAAAAUUUUAUAGAAAAUUCUUUUCACUAUUUAGAAUAAA